AUUGAACGCUGGCGGCAGGCCUAACACAUGCAAGUCGAGCGGCAGCAGCGGGCUUGCUCCCGCAUUCAGGGGCGGACGGGUGGGUAAUGCCUAGGAAUCUGCCUGGCAGCGGGGGAUAGCGUCCGGAUACGGGCGCUAAUACGCCAACCGCCCAUAGGGCGCACGUGGGUGAGCUUCGGAUCUCACGACAUCAGGUGAGCGUAGGUGGCGUUAGCUAGUUGGGGCGGUAGCUGCCUACAAAGGCGACGAUCCGUAACUGGUCUGAGAGGAUGACCAGUCACACUGGAACUGAGACACGGUACAGACUCCUGCGGGAGGCAGCAGUGGGGAAUAUUGGACAAUGGGCGAGAGCCUGAUCCAGCCAUGCCGCGUGUGUGAAGAAGGUCUUCGGAUUGUAAAGCGAUUUAGGUUGGAAGGAAGGGCAGCAAGUUAAUACCGUGCUGUUUUGACGUUACCAACAGAAUAAGCACCGGCUAACUUCGUG
rnacentral:rRNA from 1 species